rnacentral:rRNA from 1 species
UACGAAGGGUGCAAGCGUUAAUCGGAAUUACUGGGCGUAAAGCGCGCGUAGGUGGUUCGUUAAGUUGGAUGUGAAAGCCCCGGGCUCAACCUGGGAACUGCAUCCAAAACUGGCGAGCUAGAGUAUGGCAGAGGGUGGUGGAAUUUCCUGUGUAGCGGUGAAAUGCGUAGAUAGAGGAAGGAACACCAGUGGCGAAGGCGACCACAUGGGCUAAUACUUACACUGAGGUGCGACAUCGUAGGGCGCACACAGGAUUAGAUCCCCCGGUAGUCC